GCCUUAAAUCUAGCCCUUUAAACUCGCAUGCCCACUACACCUACCCCACAGGAUAAAACAUUCUAACAGCAUAGUACAGGCGAUCGAAAAAUUUCUAAGCGCUUCAGAUAAAGUACCGUAAGGAAAGAUGAAAUAGUAAUGAAAUAAUCUUAAAGCCCCAAAUAGCAGAGACAUCCCCUCGUACCUUUUGCAUCAUGGUCUAGCCAGUCUCUCAAGCAAAAUGAAAAUUUUAGUUUGACCCCCCGAAACUGAGUGAGCUACUUCAAAACAGCCUAAAGGGCCAACCCGUCUCUGUCGCAAAAGAGUGGGAAGAUUUUGAAGUAGAGGUGACAAGCCUAUCGAACUCAGAGAUAGCUGGUUGUUCAGGAAAAGAGUCUAAGCUCUACCUUAAGUUUCCUAAUUACAUUUAAAAAUCUAAACUUAAGAGCUAUUCAAAUAAGGCACAGCUUAUUUGAAAAAGGAACACAAUCCCAAUACCGGUUAAUAUGGAAUCCUAAACAAAGUGGGCCUAAAAGCAGCCAUCUUCUAAAAAGCGUUAAAGCUUAACAUAAGAUACCCCCAAUUUUAUAAAUUAUACUUAACCCUUCACUGCUACUGAACUAUUUUAUAUGUAUAUAAAAGUUAUUAUGCUAGAACUAGUAACAAGAAAUUGCCUUUCUCCACAAUGUACCUUUAAACCAGAACGGACCAACCACUGGUAAUUAACGUAACCUAAAGAUUAUAGUAAAAUGUGUCAAGAAAAACCUAUGAUCUAUAAACGUUAACCUAACAACAGCACAUUUCUGGAAAGAUNNNNNNNNNNNNNNNNNNNNNNNNNNNNNNNNNNNNNNNNNNNNNNNNNNNNNCAUCGCCUCUUGAAGAAAUAUAAGAGGUCCAGCCUGCCCAGUGACAUAGUUUAACGGCCGCGGUAUAAUAACCGUGCGAAGGUAGCAUAAUCACUUGUUCUCUAAAUAAGGACUCGUAUCAAUGGCACCACGAGGGUUAUACUGUCUCCUUUCUCUAAUCAGUGAAACUGAUCUCCCCGUGAAGAAGCGGGGAUUAGAUUAUAAGACGAGAAGACCCCAUGGAGCUUUAAACUCAAUACACAUCUCUGUAUACCUAAACCACCUUAACCUAGGAGACUUGUGUUUUAGUUUUCGGCUGGGGAGACCGCGGAGUAAAACUAAACCUCCACAACAAAUGGGCUAAUACCCUUAUCCAUGAGCCACAACUCUAAGAAUCAAUAAAUUGAUGUCCUAUGACCCGAUUAUUCGAUCAAUGAACCAAGUUACCCUGGGGAUAACAGCGCAAUCUAUUUCAAGAGCCCAUAUCGACAAAUAGGUUUACGACCUCGAUGUUGGAUCAGGGUAUCCUGUGGUGCAGCCGCUACCAAAGGUCGUUUGUUCAACGAUUAAAACCCUA
rnacentral:rRNA from 1 species